rnacentral:rRNA from 1 species
UACAGAGGGUGCGAACGUUGCUCGGAAUUACUGGGCGUAAAGCGCGUGUAGGCGGGUCGGCAAGUCAGGCGUGAAAUCCCCAGGCUCAACCUGGGAACUGCGCUUGAAACUGCCGGUCUUGAGUAUCGGAGAGGGUGGCGGAAUUCCCAGUGUAGAGGUGAAAUUCGUAGAUAUUGGGAAGAACACCGGUGGCGAAGGCGGCUCACUGGCUCGUUUCUGACGCUCAGGCGCGACAGCGUGGGAUCGAAACAGG